rnacentral:rRNA from 1 species
AGCUCCAAUAGCGUAUAUUAAAGUUGUUGCAGUUAAAAAGCUCGUAGUUGGAUUUGUGGUGGGAUGUGCCGGUCCAGCACAAUGUGUUUGGUACCUGGCGUGUCUUGCCAUCCUUGGGUGGAAUCUGUGUGGCAUUAGGUUGUCGUGCAGGGGAUGCCCAUCGUUUACUGUGAAAAAAUUAGAGUGUUCAAAGCAGGCUUACGCCGUUGAAUAUAUUAGCAUGGAAUAAUGAGAUAGGACCUGGGUACUAUUUUGUUGGUUUGCGCACCGAGGUAAUGAUUAAUAGGGACAGUUGGGGGUAUUCGUAUUCCAUUGUCAGAGGUGAAAUUCUUGGAUUUUUGGAAGACGAACUACUGCGAAAGCAUUUACCAAGGAUGUUUUCAUUAAUCAAGAACGAAAG